rnacentral:rRNA from 1 species
UACGGGGGGGGCAAGCGUUGUUCGGAAUUACUGGGCGUAAAGGGCUCGUAGGCGGCCAACUAAGUCAGACGUGAAAUCCCUCGGCUUAACCGGGGAACUGCGUCUGAUACUGGAUGGCUUGAGAUUGGGAGAGGGAUGCGGAAUUCCAGGUGUAGCGGUGAAAUGCGUAGAUAUCUGGAGGAACACCGGUGGCGAAGGCGGCAUCCUGGACCAACACUGACGCUGAGGCGCGAAAGCGUGGGGAGCAAACAGG